AACGAACGCUGGCGGCGCGCCUAACACAUGCAAGUCGAGCGAGAAUCCGGGGCAACCCGGUAGUAAAGUGGCAAACGGGUGAGGAAUACAUGGGUAACCUACCCUUGAGAAGGGAAUAACCCGCCGAAAGGUGAGCUAAUACCCUAUACGCUAUCUUUUUUUCGAAAAGGAUAGGAAAGCCGGGUCGAGGACCUGGUACUCAAGGAGGGGCUCAUGUCCUAUCAGCUUGUUGGUGGGGUAACGGCCUACCAAGGCUACGACGGGUAGCUGGUCUGAGAGGAUGAUCAGCCACACUGGCACUGAGAUACGGGCCAGACUCCUACGGGAGGCAGCAGUGAGGAAUAUUGCGCAAUGGGCGAAAGCCUGACGCAGCGACGCCGCGUGGGGGAUGAAGGUUUUCGGAUUGUAAACCCUUUCAUGAGGAAAGAUAAAGUGGGUAACCACUUAGACGGUACCUCAAGAAGAAGCCACGGCUAACUUCGUG
rnacentral:rRNA from 1 species